rnacentral:tRNA from 1 species
GCCCAGGUAGUUUUAUUUAAAAUAUUAGUGUGUGGAACUAGAGAUACCUUUUGGUCUUGGGCA